CGUCCGCCCGCUCGUCCGCCCGUCGCGACCCCUCUAUCGCCGUCCCCCAAACCUCUGUCACGCGCUUCUCCGUCAUCAUAGACGGCGGCAGCACCGGCACCCGGACCCACAUCUUCGCCACGGGGCCCGUGAUGCGUGUCUCCUCGGGGCUCCCAUCCUUCGCCGCCGAGGUGGCGUGCGCGGGGGAGUCGCUGCGGCCGCUGAUGGAGUUCGCGAGGGAGAGGGUAGGGGGCGCCGCUGCGGAGACGGAGGUGCGGCUGGUGGCCACCGCCGAGCUGCCCCAAUACCAGCUCCAAGGCACCUAGCGUCCCCUCCUUAGACGCGCACAAUGACCCGCUCCUUCCCACCGUCACCUUCUUGCUGCCCUCGAUGCCCGCGUCCCGGCGGGAGCUCCGCCGCCGCCUCUCCCCCGAGCUCGCUCAGGUGCGCGCCACCUCCAAGCGCCUCAACUCACUCCAGGCCCCCGCCCCUUCCUACGCGCUCUCGACCGACCCCUCCACCUCGCUCCCGCCCGCAUCCAAGCACAAAUCGAAGAAAGGGGCAGCAGCUCACCCGCCCGUCUUGGCGGCGGAACAAGCUCUACGCGCCCGUGUUUAAGAACUGCGCCAUGCUGCCCAGUAGGUUGAUGAAGCCCAAGCACAGCUGGGUGUUCAACAAGCCGGUCGACACUAUCGGUCUCGGUCUGCACGACUACCACACCAUCAUCACCAAGCCCAUGGACCUCGACACUGUCAAGUCCAAGCUAGCCGCCCGGCACUACAAGUCACCACGAGAAUUCGCUGGGGAUGCGCGUCUGACGUUCCAGAACGCCAUGACGUACAACCCCAAGGGGCAGAAUUUUGAUUCACUUAUGCCAAAUUUGAGAUGCUUUCCUUUUAAAUAAAUGAGCCAAUAUGUGAAAUUCGAUCACAAUGUCAUCCAUGACAGCAAAGAGGAAGGGCCAAGGAACAACAGUUUAUCCAAAAGGUGCAGGAAAUGCUUAUGGAGGAAGAGAACAAGAGGAUACAUAUUGCGCAAGGACUACCAUGGACUACUGGUGAGCCUGGGUGCUUGUUGAAGCCACCCGUCAAAGAAAGAACUGAGCCGAUCGACCUUGUUCUCCAUAGCGAUGUACGCGCAGUUGAACGUGUUAAAUUCGAUCAAUAUGUUUGCUGAGCAACUAAGGCUGGAGAACAUGAGAUAACUCAUUCCACUGAACACAAGAAUGCCAAUAGUCAACACUUUAUUUCUAGAUUUAUAACUAAUAGUUUACAAUCUGUUGAGCAGCACUAGACGGAAGAGGCUAAUUCAAUCGCGGGGUCGCUCAUUCAUAUUUUCAACUGCUUUGCCAAUGCCAGUAGUUGCUUCUGU